UCAGAGUCUCUGGUUAUUCUUCCCAGCUAUCAGGACCUUGAGUGUCACCAAUCCGUUUGACAUUUCUUGAACUUCAGAGACCAGAAUGCAGAAUUCCUAUCUCAUUUCAACCAGGUAAACAUUAUCAUGAAAACUGCCUAAAGGCAGGUAGUUGCUGAGUAAGGAACGAAUUGACCCUCAUGAUAUAUAAAUGGAAAAACUGGCCCUUCAAUCACAAGGACUUCACUGAACUUGGGCAGUUAAUGAUCAGUAAUAGCCAUGCAUACAAAUGCACAUGGCUCCAGGAAAGUAACACGUUGGAGAAUAUUUAAACUUGCCUUUUCUACUAAUCCACAGAUAAUCUGUUUUUAAAUUCUUUCUAAUUACAGUUUACACCGGACUGAAGACUUCUCUAUACAGCAAAUUCCAUAAAUGCAAUAAUUGUCCAUAUUUUGCUUAGCAGUGUGUUCUAAACAAGUAAUUACGUCUGGCAGAAAAUAAAUAUUUUCUUUCUUCUUCUUUUUUUUUUUUUUCUUCUUUUUGAGAUGCUGUAGUGCAGUGGCGCGAUCUCGGCUCACUGCAAGCUCCGC
rnacentral:lncRNA from 10 species